rnacentral:rRNA from 1 species
AUUGAACGCUGGCGGCAGGCCUAACACAUGCAAGUCGAACGAGUGGCGGACGGGUGAGUAAUGUCUGGGAAACUGCCUGACGGAGGGGGAUAACUACUGGAAACGGUAGCUAAUACCGCAUACCAUCGGAUGUGCCCAGAUGGGAUUAGCUAGUAGGGUGGGGAAAGGCCCACCUAGGCGACGAUCCCUAGCUGGUCUGAGAGGAUGAACAGCCAAACGGGAACUGAGACACGGUCCAGACGCCUACGGUAGGCAGCAGUGGGGAAUAUGGGACAAUGGGCGAAAGCCUGCUGCAGCCAUGCCGCGUGUAUGAAGAAGGCCUUAGGGUUGUAAAGUACUUUCGGCAGGGAGGCGUUACCCACAGAAGAAGCACCGGCUAACUCCGUGCCAGCAGCCGCGGUAAUUC